rnacentral:rRNA from 1 species
UACGGGGGAUGCAAGCGUUAUCCGAAAUCAUUGGGCGUAAAGCGCCUGUAGGUUGUUUAUUAAGUCUGUUGUUAAAGCCUAGGGCUUAACCCUAGAACAGCAAUGGAAACUAGUAGACUAGAGUAUGGUAGGGGUAGAGGGAAUUUCUAGUGUAGCGGUGAAAUGCGUAGAUAUUAGAAAGAACACCGGUGGCGAAGGCGCUCUACUGGAUCAUUACUGACACUCAGAGGCGAAAGCUAGGGUAGCAAAAGGGAUUAGAUACCCCUGUAGUCCUAGCCGUAAACGAUGGAUACUAGAUGUUGCGUUUUUAUGCAGUAUCCUAGCUAACGCGUUAAGUAUCCCGCCUGGGGAGUACGCUCGCAAGGGUG